AUACGGAGGGGGUUAGCGUUGUUCGGAAUUACUGGGCGUAAAGCGCACGUAGGCGGACUGGAAAGUUGGGGGUGAAAUCCCGGGGCUCAACCCCGGAACUGCCUCCAAAACUUCCAAUCUAGAGACCGAGAGAGGUGAGUGGAAUUCCAAGUGUAGAGGUGAAAUUCGUAGAUAUUUGGAGGAACACCAGUGGCGAAGGCGGCUCACCGGCUCGAUACUGACGCUGAGGUGCGAAAGCGUGGGGAGCAAACAGGAUUAGAAACCCUAGUAGUCC
rnacentral:rRNA from 1 species